rnacentral:tRNA from 1 species
GUUAAUGUAGCUUAAAACAUAAAGCAAAGCACUGAAAAUGCUUAGAUGGGUAAUCAUAUAACCCCAUAAACA